ACCUGUUGAUUGAAAAGAAAAAUUAGAAACUAACCUUGUUGCUACACAGCUAGCUCAAUACAAAUUUCAACUUUCAAACUAUUUCUAACAGAGUCUCUAAUGAAUUAACAUACAAGUUUCAUCACUGUCUUUUUUUCCUAUACAUUCUGUAGAGAAAUGCUAACAACAGACUUGCUAGCAUAUGCUCUUGAAUAUAUUCUUCAUUUAUGAUGAAAUUUAAUAAGAAUCAUAAAAUUGCACAGGUUCCACUUCAUAUUUGAUGAGUUUCACUUGUGAUUUUGUAGUUUCUAUUGAAGGAGUGUGUUAAUAUCACUCACUCCUCUAUUCUGAAUUCUUCCUCUUUAAAUAUAUAUUUGUAACAAGAAACCCCUUUAAUACACUUAUUACAGCUUUAGAUGCAAUAUAGAAGCUUAAAUUUGAACCAGGCGCUACAUAUCCUAGACUCAAACUUAAAAAUCACUGGUGAAGCUAGAACAAUCCCGUCGGAUGAUCCAUGCGCUUAAUAGUAAACUUGUUAAUUCAUAGUUUGAAAAAAAGGGUUUUGUGUUUAGUUAGAGAAAAUCCAAUUUUUACUAUUUACUAUAUAAUAUAAAUCUUUGAUGACACAAAAGAAAAGGAAAAUAAGAGGACAUAUUUAUAACUAAAAACAUUUUCUCAUACCAAUUCCAAUGGGGGGAGCUAGCCUAGUAUACUCACAAACAAUCAACAAUUAAGGAUCAUGUUCAUGGAAUAAAAGCGAUUACUCUGCACAACAUGAGAAACUACCGUACUAAAGAGUUGAGUUUUGAAGUAACUUACCUUAGCACCUCUCUUGGGGCCAAUAGGUGGUGGCUUUGGUUUAGCUUCAGCUUCAGCUGGGGGUGUGGCGGUGGCGGGUGCCGCCGCUGCAGGCUCAUCUGAAGCCCUUACAACAAGCCUAGAAGCGUUGUUCUUUGUGUUGAACAUGACCACCCUUGAGUUUGUGGUGGCAGCUGCAACAUUAAGUGACAACACAAACCCAGAUGCUGCUGAUGCCAUGAUGAUUUCUCCUCUAACUCUGUGUGUUUGUGUUGUGUUGUGUGUCUUAGGUUCUCUCUUGGGUGAUCUUAAGCGUGGCAAAAGGACAAAAGCAGCACAAGCACUGAGAGGCUUUGAAUAAACAUGCAUGGUUUGGGUUUAGUUUGGCGAAUUAUCUGAUCCCCAUAAGUGUGCAUCAAUCGUGUCUACCACUAGGGUGAUGCCACUUGUGAACCAUAUCCCAUUCUAUGGAUAAUGUUAUUACAACUCAUCCUUUCGUAAAUUCCCCGAGUCAACUCAGUUAGUCACUCGGCUAGGCAACUAAACUUGAAUAAUGCCAAAUGGCCAAUUUGAGACAUCAAAAUGAUAUUCAGACACUCUUUAGCAAUACAAUUCUUAUUAACUAUUUUCAUUUCUCACACAUCUCACCCUUCACACUCCAAAUUUUUUACUCCAUCUCCCUUCACACCUUCCAUUAUGUCACAUAUAUUUAUCACUAAUUUCUCAACUUUUUCUUUCUUUUUUCUAUCUCUCUCCUCCCUCUAUGGAAUGUCGACCUUGGGAUUGUUUUGAUGUGCGAGUACCCAGAACACAUAUUAUGUACACAUGAAAUCAAAAAUACAAGUGAGAAAACAAAAGAAAAUAAGAUUGACUCAUAAAACAUGAAAUCAAAAUACAAUUGAGCAACUCAAAGUGCUGAAUUGAAAUUCAGUCAUUAAAAAGGAACACAAAUGAAAACAAGAACUUAACACAAGAUGGAGCAAGAGAAAAAUCCAUGGAAGUACUCCAUUAAAGAUUCACAUUCAUACCUAGAGCAAAUCUAUAUUAAAAAGUUCCAAGAACUCAAGACUUAGACUCUCUCUCUCUCUCACCAAGAACACAUGAUCUUGAAAAUUAUAUUUUGGGAAAAUUAUAUCCACACCCCUUGAGGAUACACUUGAUAUCAUUUGUUUACAUUGCUUUUGAUCUUUCUUGGUUUAUAUAAUUGCAUAAGGAAUCAAGGAAACUAAGAAAUUAUGUGAUAUUGGAAAGGGUAAACAAUGUUAUGUUAUUAAGGGAACAUUGUGCAAGAUUAAAAAUGAGAGAAAAAUUGAGUGUUGAUUUUUUUAUAUCCAUAAAUUUUAAACAUCUACUUGAUAACCUAAUUUUUUUCUCUAUCUCUCUUACUAUCAAAUCAUAUCAUCUAUCAUACUUAUACUUCUCUCUCUUCCCUCUCUUUCUCUCUUCGCUCCUUUUUCUUUCCUAAUACUCCUUCCCUUUUCCGUCAUCGAAUGCAUUGGUGCACAUAGACAUGUGAACUUAUGUGUACAAAAGCCAUGUGCAAUUAAGUCAGUAUGUGUAUGAUUAAGUAACAUAGAAUUAAUCCCUCGAACAGAAAAUCCAUGAUAGUUCAGGUGCCUCUGCAAUAAUAAGAACAUAAUAUGGAGCUUUUUGUUUACCAUUCUCCUCAUUUCGAUUGUUUUAUUUUUUUUAUCUGUAAAAAUUUAAGAUAUGCAUCAAAGGUUUCUUUACUUAGUUAAUUGUACUAGAAUAAUUAUAGAAAGAAGUGAUUGAAUAUUUAUAAACCACUCAACAGGGAUGGAUACAUGUGUUGUAUUGUGGGGACAAUUGUCUCCACUAAAUUAUAAUAAAAAAAUUUCCCUUAUAAAAAAUAGAUAUUAUUCCUAUAAGAUAAUAUUUUUAAAAUAUAUAAAAAGUAUAAGAAAUAAAAAAAAGAAUAAAUUGAUUUUAAUUUUACUAUUUUAUCUUUUUAAUUUUUAGAUUUAAUUAUUAUUUUGAUCCUCUAAUUUAUUUUUUAGGUUUAAUUUGGUCCUCUUUAGUUUUAAAAUGUUCAAUUAGAUUCUUUAUAUUUUUUAAAUGAUUUCAAUUUGAUCUCAUUUUUCUUCCAUUAUCUCUGAAUAUUUUCAAAAUAAUGAGACCAAAUUGAAUCCAUUUUUAAAAAUAAAGAUCUAAUUAGAAAUUUUAAAAAUAAAGGGACUAGAUUAAAUCUAAUAUAUACAAAUUAAUGGUUCAAAUUAAACUUUUUAAAAAUAAAAGAACUAAAUUAAACCUAAAUAAAUUAGAGGUCAAAAUAAUAACCUAAAUUUUAAUAUUCUAACUCAUGUGAUAAACAUUCAAUAGAGCACAAUGAUUCAUUUACUACCUUAUAUGUUUCAUUUGAGUGAUUUCAUCACAUUUUUCAAAUAGAGCAAGAAAUGAAUUAAGAGAGUUUGUCAUUUAAGAUGUUUCUCUACAAUUAAUUUUGUGAAGAAUAAAAUACAUAGUCAUGUGAGAAAAGAUAAAUGAUUGAAUAAUUAUUUGGUUAUAAAUAUAGAGAUAUUUUUUUAUAAUAUUGACAAUGAAACAAUCAUAUAGCAUUUUCAAUAAAAAAAAACAUAAAAGACAAUUGUAAUUUGUAGAAGUUUAAAUAUUUUGAAUUAUUCUUUUUUCAUAACAUUAUGUAUUUUAUAAAAAUUUACGAUAUUUUUCUUUUCUUACCCCCACUAAAAAAUAUUCUUGGAUCCGGCACACUCAACCAUUAGAUAAUCCACAAAUUUACGCUGCCAGUUUUCAUUAACAAUUUUGUAGUUGCAUAAGUUAACAUAUUUUAUGUUCGGCAUAAGAAAGAAACUAUCAUAUUGAUCAUCUGCAACACUCAUUUCAUUCACGUUAGAAUACAAUACAUGUACCUCAUUGUCAUGGCAAUACUUCAGAAAAAUGUACAUUUUUAUCUCUUUUUUCUUUCUUGAUGGCAUCACUCAUCAAAUCUCUCUCAUUUUGUUUCUCUUCUCUUAUAUUUUCUUUCAACACCUCAUGAGGUGCAAAGUCUUUUCUUUUGCAUUUUACAUGAAGAGGUGAUAAAAUGGGUUAGAGCAACAUAGUUAACUCGGUUAAAGCCAGAUCAACCUCAUGAUCAAUUGCAUGAGGAGUAUUUCAUUUUUAUUUUUAGGCCAAUUUCAAUAGUUGUAAAGGUCAUAGAUUGAUGGCUCUAACAACAUGCCUAAUAACUGAUUUGAAUAAAAUAAGAUGUCUUUAGUCGAAGAAUAAGAUUAUGAGCAACUGCACACAGGAUAUAGUUCAUAGAGAAUAGAGAUCAAAGGGGUCGAUAACAGAGAGAAUAUACAGAUUCUUUUUUUGUGACAUGAAAAAUCCUUAGGCUAGUAGUAACUGCGAUAGCAUGACAAGUAUCAAAAUUACAAUUAAGUUGGAUUCAUUCGACUUCCACGAUCUCAUCCAAAGCAUAGUUGUUUGUUGAUACAUUGGCAUAGUUGACUUUGUUGAAUCGAACCACAACAGGGUAGCGAGUGUUGGGGUCCUGCACAACAAUAAAACAGGAACUGAGUUUGCAUAAUGCAUGGGAUGGUAGAAAAUUGAGAGGGUAUGCAUUAGAGUGAGUUUAGGGGCACUAACCUGAUCAACAGCAACCACUGAACCGGUGCCUUUGUACCAGUAAGAUUCCUUCCUAAGAAUCUUCACCUGUUAAUUGUAAAUAAGAAUUAGAAACUACCCUUGUUGCUGGGCAAGUGGGCAACUAAUUUAAUACAAAUUUCAACUUUCAAGCUAUUUACUAACACAAAGUCUCAAAUGAAUAAAACAGACAAGUUCAUCACUGUCCUCUGUUCCUACGCAUCAAAUAACAUACUUUCUAUCUAACAUACUUUUUUGAACAUAUUUUUCAUUACUGAUUGAAACUUAUUGGCAAAUCAUAAAAUUGUACAUGUAUCACUUCUUAAUAAGAAGAUCCACUUAUGAUUUUGUAGUUUCUAAUAAAUUUUAACUAACAAUUACUAGAAAGAGAAUUAGGAGUGUAUUAGCAGCACUCAAUCCUCUAUAUAUAUUUGUAACAAAGAAACUACUUUGAUACACUGAUUACAGCUAGCCGUAUAUGCAAUAUAGAAAACAAAGACACGUUUAUAGUUUGAGAAAAUAAUUGUGUUUAGUUUGCAAAAAAUCCAAUUUUUACUAUCAAUUAUAUAAAUCUUUGAUGACAAGAAAGAAAAUGAAAAUAAGAGGACAUGUUGAUAGCUAUUUUGCACAACAUGAGCAACUACAACUACAAAAAAAAUUGGGUUUUGGGGGUAGCUCACCUUAGCACCUCUCUUGGGGCCAAUAGGUGGUGGCUUUGGUUUAGCUUCAGCUUCAGCUGGGGGUGUGGCGGUGGCGGGUGCCGCCGCUGCAGGCUCAUCUGAAGCCUUUACAACAAACCUAGAAGUGUUGUUCUUGGUGUUGAACAUGACCACCCUUGAGUUUGUGGUGGCAGCUGCAACAUUAAGUGACAACACAAACCCAGAUGCUGCUGAUGCCAUGAUGAUUUCUCUUGUAACUCUUUGUGUGAGUCUGUGUUGUGUGUCUUAGGUUCUCUCUUGGGUGAUCUUAAGCGAGGAAAAAGGACAAGAGCAGCACAAGCACUGAGAGGCUUUGAAUGGAACAUGGUUUUAGUUUGGGGAAAUAUCUGAUCCUCGGAAGUGUGCAUCAAUCGUGUCCACCACUAGGGUGAUGCCACUUGUGAACCAUAUCCCCUUCCUUUGGAUAAUGUUGUUACAAUUCAUCCUCCAUGUCUAAAUUCCCCGAGUCAACUCGGUGAGUGGCUUCGCUUCUCACUCGGCUAGGCCACCAAACUUCAAAAUGGG
rnacentral:lncRNA from 1 species